rnacentral:lncRNA from 1 species
UUCCACCUUGCCUAGGCAGCGCCAAAGCACCUUCUCUGAAAGCUGUUAAGUGAAGGCUGUGACUUCAGCCCCUUAGAUUCAGGGCUGACUCUGGAGACAGUUCUGUCUGAAAUGAUAGGAAGUGCCCCAUGAGGCCCCAAGCCCGGCUCUGCCUGACUGUGCCUGGCAUUGACCACGCCAGGGAAAUGGGAAAAGGCUCCGGAGAAGGAUGGUGAUGCCCUUGAGGAGGAAAGGCACAGGGCAGCCCAGGAAGAAAGGAAACUCACCGGGGAAAUGAAGACUCAGUUGAUCUUCCUGUGCUGAGACCCUCUAGCAGAAUCACAACAGAGAGACACGUGACCUCUGGACACUAUGCUGAGCCCCGAGCAUGGAUUGCCUGGAACACUUCAUUACUUGAAACACAGAGCAAGAAGCAGAAGUUACAAAUCAGGUGUUCUCUUUAAGAAGCUGUAUGGAGAGUUUGUCCUUACACUUGAAUAGUUGCUUCAUUACCUCCCUUAUCUCAGAAGGACAUGCACAGUAAGGUUAUGAAGAACUGGCUUCCAAAUAAUAUUAAGAGCAAGUCACCUAGACUGGAACCAGCAGGUCCAUAUGGCAGACCAGGGACAGCGGGAAGAACACCUAAGUGGAACCCUGAAGCUACUUCCCACUCUGUGACUUUAGGGUCCAUAGAAUUAUGGACCUGGAUACUGGAUGGCAGAUGUGAAAUCCCUUCUUCUUAUUCAAUGCUUAUGCAAAUAUGUGCUAUUGUCAUUGCAAACAUGGUAUGUGCCCUGGAGGGGAACAAUGACUCCAUUAAAUUUUCUGGCCCUGGAAUUCCGUAAAGGAAGUAGUCCAUGGCCCUAGCCCAGGUUUUUCAGCCUCCACACUAUUGCCCAGUAGGCCCUGGAGAUGCCCUGUGUGGGGCCCUGUGCCCAGAGCGGCAUCCCUGGGCUCCACCCUGCAGGUGCCCUGGAUAUCAGCAGAAACUCCCACCAAGUCCUGACAAUAGAAAGUGUCUCCAGACAUGCCCAAGUGUCCCUCGGGGGCAAAACCACCAGUUUGGGAGACCCUGCCUAGGAAAGGUUUUUGUCUUGCUUUUUGUAGAGAGGCCACACAGUGAGAGGCUUCUCAGAAAGAAGGCGCAGUUCCCAGUGCUCAUUAACCUACAGAUUCAAUGACCAAUUCACUGCAGAGGGCAUCCAAAGGUUCUCGAACACAGAAGUUAGGAAAUGACCAUGAGAUAACAAACGGGGCUCUAUUUUGUAAAGGGGGUGCAGCCCGAUUUGGGAUUGCUAAUAAAAGACAAGUAAGUCUUUCAACUCGAUUUGUUGAAAUUUUUUUUAACAACCGUAUUUAUCUUACCAACACUUUCCAUUUCACUCAUUCUUAAUUAACACAGAGAGUAGGUUUUAAAAAAUAUUAUGACAAAACAGUGGAUUGUCCUCACAAAGCAUUUCCUUAACACUUACGUAGUUAGGAGAAUACUCAGAUGGGGUGGAAAUGGGUCUCACUCCCUUCCUAAUGGCAGCUGUACAUUCCUGGCAUCCGCCCUCCACAAAUUCCCCCAGGCACAGGCACUGUUCACCGCUACCACGAAUGUUCAGAUGGAAGGCAGGCAACGAUGAGUGUUUUUUUUCAAAGCGUUUACUCAAGUGUUGUGGGUCCCUCCUUAGCAGCAGCAUCUUCAACUUCCCUAUCCACCCACCUGACCCUGCUGUGAAUCCUAUUGGCCAGACACCCUCAGGGCUUGUGGCGAUCCUGGGGCCCUGAGCUAUCAGAAAAAAAAGUCUAUGAAAGCAAGGCCUCUGCACGAUACACAAUCCAGCAAGGUUGGUGGCUUCUACCAGACAUGCGUGAGUGUUAACGCCCAUGGAAUGUAACCAAGCACAUGGCAA